AGAGUUUGAUCAUGGCUCAGGAUGAACGCUAGCGACAGGCCUAACACAUACAAGUCGAGGGGUAACAGGGAAGCUUGCUUCCGCUGACGACCGGCGCACGGGUGCGUAACGCGUAUGCAACCUACCUCAUACAGUGGGAUAGCCCGAAGAAAUUCGGAUUAAUACCACAUAACAUUAUGAUAUCACAUGUUAUUAUAAUUAAAACUCCGGUGGUAUGAGAUGGGCAUGCGUGACAUUAGAUAGUUGGUGAGGUAACGGCUCACCAAGUCAGCGAUGUCUAGGGGUUCUGAGAGGAAGGUCCCCCACACUGGUACUGAGACACGGACCAGACUCCUACGGGAGGCAGCAGUGAGGAAUAUUGGUCAAUGGACGCAAGUCUGAACCAGCCAUGUCGCGUGCAGGACGACUGCCCUAUGGGUUGUAAACUGCUUUUUUACGGGAAGAAAUAUGUCUACGUGUAGACAUUUGCCGGUACCGUAGGAAUAAGGAUCGGCUAACUCCGUGCCAGCAGCCGCGGUAAUACGGAGGAUCCGAGCGUUAUCCGGAUUUAUUGGGUUUAAAGGGUGCGUAGGCGGAAUAAUAAGUCAGAGGUGAAAGUCUGCAGCCCAACUGUAGAAUUGCCUUUGAAACUGUUAUUCUUGAGUACAAUCGAGGUAGGCGGAAUGUGAUGUGUAGCGGUGAAAUGCUUAGAUAUGUCACAGAACACCGAUUGCGAAGGCAGCUUACUAGAAUGUAACUGACGCUGAUGCACGAAAGCGUGGGUAUCGAACAGGAUUAGAUACCCUGGUAGUCCACGCCGUAAACGAUGAUAACUAGCUGUUUGCGAUACACAGUAAGCGGCAAAGCGAAAGCAUUAAGUUAUCCACCUGGGGAGUACGUUGGCAACGAUGAAACUCAAAGGAAUUGACGGGGGCCCGCACAAGCGGUGGAACAUGUGGUUUAAUUCGAUGAUACGCGAGGAACCUUACCUGGGCUUAAAUGGGAGCUGCAUGAUUUAGAGAUAGAUCUUUCUUCGGACUGCUUUCAAGGUGCUGCAUGGUUGUCGUCAGCUCGUGCCGUGAGGUGUCGGGUUAAGUCCCAUAACGAGCGCAACCCCUAUCGUUAGUUGCCAUCAGGUUAAGCUGGGGACUCUAACGAGACUGCCGGUGUAAACCGCGAGGAAGGUGGGGAUGACGUCAAAUCAGCACGGCCCUUACGUCCAGGGCUACACACGUGUUACAAUGGCCGGUACAAAGGGCAGCUACCCCGCGAGGGGAUGCGAAUCUCAAAAACCGGUCUCAGUUCGGAUCGAAGUCUGCAACCCAACUUCGUGAAGCUGGAAUCGCUAGUAAUCGCAUAUCAGCCAUGAUGCGGUGAAUACGUUCCCGGGCCUUGUACACACCGCCCGUCAAGCCAUGGAAGCCGGGGGUACCUGAAGUCUGUAACCGCAAGGAGCGGCCUAGGGUAAAACUGGUAACUGGGGCUAAGUCGUAACAAGGUA
rnacentral:rRNA from 1 species